UAAUCGUAAGACGGAAGGAAAGGAAAUAUCUUAUCAAACGUGUAAGGAACGGUCGAGUACGUUACGUGAAAUCGUUGACGUUUCGAAUGUAUAUAAAUCUGUAAGGUCGCUGUAAAAAUUAUCGAUAAAAAUAAUUGAGUUUGAGAAACAACAAAUUAACAUCGAAGACGUCGCUUAGAAUUAUUGAAAUCAGUUCUGGUCGUAUCUGUGAAUAAGAUUUGAUAAAAAUGGAUAAUUGCUAUAUGGUUUAUUCCCCAGUACUACGCAGUAUGAGAUCAAUGGAAAUUCUUUUGAUACCACUAAUCGGCACACUUUUGCAUAUAUGGCUUACUUGGAAAAUUGGAUAUGGAACCGAAAUACCAGCUGAAUGGUUCACUUCUACUGUUCUACUAGCAGCCAUGCUUUUUUUUCUUGACCGCCUUAAAAUAAAAUUUCGUAAUCCAAUAUCUGUUAAUGGUCAGAAGUUCGUAAACGUUCUGUUUCGCGUGCUCAUUAUAUAUUUAUCAGAAUUGAUUGUCAAUUACAUUUGGCUUCCUUUGGUACAAAAGUUCUACAAUUUCUGCAGCACCCACGAAGAAACCAGCUUAAUGCUGAGUAUCUUUUAUGAUAUUUGUUGUGGAAGUGACUUAGCAAUUGCAUUUACAGCGCUCGCAUUGUCGCUUAAGCUAACAGGGUCCUGGACUCUUUUUAGAUCAUUGCUACCUUAAAAUAAAAUAAUAAGGUGAGACAAAAAAGAAGCAAAGAAUAUCGCUUUUUAUCUAAAUUCCAAAAGGCUUCAAUGUAAACGUUUAAUACCUUCUUUCAAGUACUCCAGAAAUUGAUCUUUUAU